rnacentral:rRNA from 1 species
AAUAGAUACCCAGGUAGUCCACGCCGUAAACGAUGGAUACUAGCUGUUCGUCCGCCUCGGCGGAUGAGUGGCUAAGCGAAAGUGAUAAGUAUCCCACCUGGGGAGUACGAACGCAAGUUUGAAACUCAAAGGAAUUGACGGGGGCCCGCACAAGCGGUGGAGCAUGUGGUUUAAUUCGAUGAUACGCGAGGAACCUUACCAAGGCUUAAAUGUAGAUUGACAGGACUGGAAACAGUUUUUCUUCGGACAAUUUACAAGGUGCUGCAUGGUUGUCGUCAGCUCGUGCCGUGAGGUGUCAGGUUAAGUCCUAUAACGAGCGCAACCCCUGUUGUUAGUUGCCAGCGAGUGAUGUCGGGAACCCUAACAAGACUGCCAGUGUAAACUGUGAGGAAGGUGGGGAUGACGUCAAAUCAUCACGGCCCUUACGCCUUGGGCUACACACGUGCUACAAUGGCCGGUACAGAGAGCAGCCACUGCGCGAGCAGGAGCGAAUCUAUAAAACCGGUCACAGUUCGGAUCGGAGU